CCCCAAAACCCUCUUUCCUUCCUCCCCGACACCGAUACUCUUUUCUCCUUCCCCCAAAUUCACCGACAACCGGCGAUUCUCCUCUCCUCCCCUCUCGGUGUCGCCGGUGCAGGGCAUUCACCAGAGUAGCUUCCGGAGGAGGGAAGCUACAACCCAUUCCUCUCUCUCUCGAUUUCUCUCUUGUGCGCGGAUGGCCCGAUGUCGAAGGAGAGCUCCCUCUGCCCGUGAUUCUGUCCGCGUCGAGUCGCCGGAGGAAGAGUUGCCGGACCUCGAUGGUACCAGCGUUGUCCAGAUCGUCUCCGGUUGAGCGAUCCUCUCUUCGGCCUUUUGUUGCGCGCAAUCGAAGGGAUCUGAUUCUAGGGCACAGCGAGGGACUUGAUCGCGUCGCCUCCCUAGCCGGUUGAUCUCCUUGUUCCUCCUCUGCGAUCUGGUCGCUGGAGAUUGACUCGUAUCUCCACACUAGCUGGAUUGGAUCGGGCAAUAUCACCUGGAGGUGAGCAAUUGAGAUAUGCUAGUUGGUGGAUUUCUCCUCUGCCGAGCUUUGCUUCUCCACUACUUGUAGCUAUUGAAGUCUCGGUGAAGAGACAGAUUUUAGAAGGAUUGAUGUAUGAAUGCUUCUUUGGUAGCUAUCAGCAGGGGUUCUUGUUGGCUGUGAGCUCUUGAUUGUGAUCAUACCUCAAGGACUUUAUUUCGAAGCGAGCGUCUCGACGUGGAAUUGGUUUGUUUGACACGGUCAACAGAUAAAGGCGGGUAUUUCUUCCUUAACCUCUUUAUAGUUUCUU